UUGGGAAUGGUCGGGAUAGCUCA
rnacentral:tRNA from 3 species